CCAGCUUGAUUCUAACUGAAAACUUAGCUAUUUUGAACCAAUCUACAUGUAAGCUUUAGCUACCCCGCAAAUGCUAAUUCCUAAAAGAUGCAUUAUUUACAUCAAAUUUCUUUGAACGUAAAAGCGCCACAGUAAGUAAUCCUGACAUUCUGCAAACCCAGGAAUUGGGUAUCAAACAAAGAGUUGGCAAAAUUCGUGCCAGCUGCCGCGGUUAGACGAUAAACUCAAGCUAACUAACACGCGACUAGAUACAUGAUGUAUUAAACAGCUUCUAAGGUCUAAUUCUACAGCCAAAGAGCCCCAAUCAUCAAAUUUUAUGAAAGCCUAAACAAAAACACGGAUUAGAUACCCGUCUAUUUAUGCAAUAAAUGCUAAGUCGAAGAAUACGAACUACAGUUUAAAACUCAAAGAUUUUGGCGGUGUCUUAUCAAACCAGGGGAACCUGUCUCAUAACUCGAUAAUCCACGAAUCCCUUACCUCUUCUAGAUCUAUCAGUUUGUGUACUGCCGUCGUAAGCACACCUCUAAAAGUAACUUAGUAUGCAAUUAUGAUUAAAACCCAUUUACGUCAGGUCAAAGUGCAGCUUAUGAAAAGGUGAUGAUGGGUUACACCCUAAACAAAGAUACAGAACAUAUUUUAAACAAUACUUAAAGGUGGACUUGGAUGUAAUUCUGAUCUACAAUUACAAUGAAAGUGAAUCUAAGACAUGCACACAUCGCCCGUCACUCUUGCCUAAAGGCGAGAUAAGUCGUAACAAAGUAGGUGUAACGGAAGUUGCACCUGU
rnacentral:ncRNA from 1 species